UCAGGGGACCCAGUUCGAAAGCCUCAAUCACAGUGGUUUAGAAAUGUUAUUGGUGAAUGGAUGGAUGAGUCGGGAAAGACCGUAGAUAAGCAUGAAGGGGGUGGGCCGUUCACGGACCAAUGAUGACAGCUGCCGGCGUAUGAGUCUGGGAUGAUGAAUAUUUCGUGUCUGGAACUCUGAGGUCCAGCACAAUGACAGGUGGAAAAGCAAGGAUUGCUGGAGAGAAUGUGUCAUUUUUAUCCUCUUCUCUGCUCUGUACUCCUCAGAAUGGACUCUGCCAAGGGGAUUGACCUAUUCUCCUGUUGUCACUGUCUCCCUCUUUGCAUCUAGCUUAUACCUUGGUCCACUGUAAGUACUAGUCAACAUCAUUGCCUUUGUUGUUCUUUCCGUUUUUAAAAAGUCUUUUUCUGUCAUAGUGCCGAGCCUUAAUGCCACCGAUGAAGUACACACUCGCCAAUGUUCGUGUACCUUUCAUUGGUAGAGGCAUUAGAGUAAUUUUUCCGUAUGUGAAACAGUGGGGAUUGUCCUGACACGCUUUGUGCUUGACACAUGGAGUGUAUUAGCUGGAGGUUGGGGAUCUUAAUGCAUUUUCUUCUUGAUUUGUGAUUUGCCUGUAUUCCUCAAUAAUUAAGCAAUGCACCGAUAUAGACGGCAAUAGAGAAGGAGGGCCAUUCCAGGACCAAUGAUGACUGGGGGCAUGUGAUCUAAAGAUGAGCACGAGGCUUUGGGAUUCUGAGGUCCAAUAAAAUGGCAUCGAAGCAGGCCCUUUGUGGUGGGGUCCUUUGUUCAGGUUUGCAGAACAAUUAUAGAAAAGUAGACAUGAAGAAGUCAAAUAAUUAUUCAGUACUAAAGAGCAUAGUAAGCGCAAAAUGAAGUGAAGGAUCUUUAAAGAAAUCAAUAGAUGUCUAGUCGUUCGUUGAUACAUAGUAACGAAGCGUGUCCAGUCCAUGUAGUGUCAUGUGGUGUUUUCAUACACAUACAUAUUUUAGAGAAUUUAAAUCAGGUUCAACAUGUCGCCUCAGUCCAAUUCAUCUGUGCUCACACAUUGUGCAUGUGCUCCUCUGUGUACUGUGUCCUCCUCUGUGCCCCUCAGAAUGACUCUCCGGAGGGGAUUGACCUGUACUUCCCUCAUCACUACCUCCUUCUUCCAUGUGGAUUGAACCUUAGUCUACUCUAAGUAACAGUCAACCUUCUGUCUCUUCUGUGGUUCUUUGAAGGGAUCUUCUGUAUUACCAAAGGGCAUUUCUGAUAGCGAGCAAGUUGAAUCGUGCCAAACUUAGUAUCACUUCAAUGGAGGCAUCUUCUUGUUUGUUCCAUGUGUGAAAACAUGGGGUUUGUAAUGACAAGGUUUUGUCGUUGACUAACUGAACCUGUAAAAAACUGUCAGGAAUCUCAGUGCAUAUUUUUCCUGUAUUUCUCUGUGUAUUUGCUUUGCUCACUUAAUUAAUCAAUGCACUGGGGUAGCUGGAAUAAGAAAGAGGGCCAUUCCUGGACCAGUGAUGACAGGGCGGCAAGUGAUUCAGGCAGAAUGAGCACGAGGAGUCGAGAUUCUGAGGUCCCACGCAAAUGGAAUCUAAACAAGCCCUGUUUUGGUGGCUUCCUAUAUUCACACGUCCUGAUGUUACAAGGAUCUUGGUUUGAUCUUCAUGAAGAUCCAUGUAUUUAGAAACAUUUACUAGUAAGGAAUCGUGGGCAGGAUUAGCCAACAAUUAACAGUCAGUACACAUGAAUGAAUUAAGUAAUCAUCUAUUAAUAAAAUAUAUGUAAGAGUGUAGGUACCAGGUACCACUUUUUGAUUUUCAUUCUUCUUCUUGCGAAAGGCUGGGCCUAUAGAUCGACAUCAUCCCAGCGGCUCAGCAUUAGAUUUUUCUCGUGUAGGCUAAGAUUUGAGUAGAUUUGUUGUUUCUUGAGCACGUCACAGUGUAGACUGUGGAAACCCAAGGUGUUGAUGGAAACUAGUCGAUUAUUGCUGAUGAUAGUCGAUUAGUGCUCUACUUAGCUUGUAAGUUUGAAGGUUCUCGAGAACGAGAACAAACACUCAUGAGUUAGUGAAAGCGUAAGAUAGUACGCCAAUGAACAGUUGAGAAAAUCCGUCUCUGGAGAGAAUGUCAUUCCCUACCCUGCUGCGCUCUCUUCAUCAUGGAGGGUCUGAUUGGAAUGAGAACGAUGUAAAUGACAGGCCACAUGGUGUCAUGGUGUUUGUUUGGAGACCAAUGGGAGUAGCCCGCAAGUUUCCAUGCCCUUGGGUAGUUGAGUAACGAUAGUUACCGAAUUUAAUGGCUUUGUUAUUUAUUUCUAUAUUUUAAAUACUAGAAAAAUGUACUGCUUUUAACAACAGGCAAGGGAAAGGCAAACUUAAAUGUAGCAUGAAGAGGAGGUUGGUAGAUGUCAUUAUUGUUUUUGGAGAUCCAUCAUAACAAAGCAUGUACAAUCGAUGUAGUGCCAUGUGGGGUUUUAAUGUCUGUAUACAUUUCAUCCGAAUUCCAUAAGGUUAAAAAAUGUCUCCUCACCAACUAUCAUCUUGUCAUUGCUCAAAGGUUCUGCAUCCUUUCUUAGCAGUGGGAGAUAAAUGGUUCAAGAUCAACAUCUAUAGUCACUGCGCUUCGCAAACCCAACCGCAGCUGCAUCCUUCUAUGUAACAUCGCGUAGAGGCACCGAUCAGGCUCACUGCAUUCCUCCCUUGCCUCCCUUCCCCAGCCUCCAUUCUCAACUUCCAUGAACGCCUUGCUUUCCUAUUGCACAUCAGAGUGAUCAGUGGUGAUUUUCUUUGUAUUCCUGACUCCUUUAUUGAGAAAAGAAAUCAGAAUCUCGUUACUCCCCCCUCCCCCCAUUUUGUUAUAAGUGACGACAUGUCAUUCUCUUUUAUGGCUGAACAGAAGCUGACAGUGUUCGUAGCUAGAAUAUAUACAGUAGUAAAAUAAUGAUUUUAAGAGCAAAAACAAAACCAAAAUCUGAACCAGAAAUGAUUCAAUUACCUGAUUGUCGUUCGCCCGUGAUGUUUUGGAGAUUGUCUGUUAUACACAAUCUUUAUUUUCUGGGGAUGUGGGAAUUUGAAUUAGUUUCCAUAUGAGAUAUUAUAGAAAUGAGUUAGUGAUUGUGGAAAUGACGCAGAAAAUCAGUGAUGAGUUCAGGAGUCAAAACAGAGAAUGUCUUAGUUAUCAUUGUCUUCCAUUUUUUCCUUUACUCUUCUCUGUGCUGCUCCCAAUGGACCAUUUGAGCUGGUGUAGGAAUUCUCCGUGGCCAGGCACUCUGCGGAGCAUCUCUCUGAGCAGCCUAGUGUCCCAUAAUGGACUCUGCCAAGGGGAUUGACCUUUCUCCUGUUGUCACUGUCUCCCUCUUUGCAUCUAGCUUAUACCUUGGUCCACUGUAAGUACUAGUCAACAUCAUUGCCUUUGUUGUUCUUUCCGUUUUUAAAAAGUCUUUUUCUGUCAUAGUGCCGAGCCUUAAUGCCACCGAUGAAGUACACACUCGCCAAUGUUCGUGUACCUUUCAUUGGUAGAGGCAUUAGAGUAAUUUUUCCGUAUGUGAAACAGUGGGGAUUGUCCUGACACGCUUUGUGCUUGACACAUGGAGUGUAUUAGCUGGAGGUUGGGGAUCUUAAUGCAUUUUCUUCUUGAUUUGUGAUUUGCCUGUAUUCCUCAAUAAUUAAGCAAUGCACCGAUAUAGACGGCAAUAGAGAAGGAGGGCCAUUCCAGGACCAAUGAUGACUGGGGGCAUGUGAUCUAAAGAUGAGCACGAGGCUUUGGGAUUCUGAGGUCCAAUAAAAUGGCAUCGAAGCAGGCCCUUUGUGGUGGGGUCCUUUGUUCAGGUUUGCAGAACAAUUAUAGAAAAGUAGACAUGAAGAAGUCAAAUAAUUAUUCAGUACUAAAGAGCAUAGUAAGCGCAAAAUGAAGUGAAGGAUCUUUAAAGAAAUCAAUAGAUGUCUAGUCGUUCGUUGAUACAUAGUAACGAAGCGUGUCCAGUCCAUGUAGUGUCAUGUGGUGUUUUCAUACACAUACAUAUUUUAGAGAAUUUAAAUCAGGUUCAACAUGUCGCCUCAGUCCAAUUCAUCUGUGCUCACACAUUGUGCAUGUGCUCCUCUGUGUACUGUGUCCUCCUCUGUGCCCCUCAGAAUGACUCUCCGGAGGGGAUUGACCUGUACUUCCCUCAUCACUACCUCCUUCUUCCAUGUGGAUUGAACCUUAGUCUACUCUAAGUAACAGUCAACCUUCUGUCUCUUCUGUGGUUCUUUGAAGGGAUCUUCUGUAUUACCAAAGGGCAUUUCUGAUAGCGAGCAAGUUGAAUCGUGCCAAACUUAGUAUCACUUCAAUGGAGGCAUCUUCUUGUUUGUUCCAUGUGUGAAAACAUGGGGUUUGUAAUGACAAGGUUUUGUCGUUGACUAACUGAACCUGUAAAAAACUGUCAGGAAUCUCAGUGCAUAUUUUUCCUGUAUUUCUCUGUGUAUUUGCUUUGCUCACUUAAUUAAUCAAUGCACUGGGGUAGCUGGAAUAAGAAAGAGGGCCAUUCCUGGACCAGUGAUGACAGGGCGGCAAGUGAUUCAGGCAGAAUGAGCACGAGGAGUCGAGAUUCUGAGGUCCCACGCAAAUGGAAUCUAAACAAGCCCUGUUUUGGUGGCUUCCUAUAUUCACACGUCCUGAUGUUACAAGGAUCUUGGUUUGAUCUUCAUGAAGAUCCAUGUAUUUAGAAACAUUUACUAGUAAGGAAUCGUGGGCAGGAUUAGCCAACAAUUAACAGUCAGUACACAUGAAUGAAUUAAGUAAUCAUCUAUUAAUAAAAUAUAUGUAAGAGUGUAGGUACCAGGUACCACUUUUUGAUUUUCAUUCUUCUUCUUGCGAAAGGCUGGGCCUAUAGAUCGACAUCAUCCCAGCGGCUCAGCAUUAGAUUUUUCUCGUGUAGGCUAAGAUUUGAGUAGAUUUGUUGUUUCUUGAGCACGUCACAGUGUAGACUGUGGAAACCCAAGGUGUUGAUGGAAACUAGUCGAUUAUUGCUGAUGAUAGUCGAUUAGUGCUCUACUUAGCUUGUAAGUUUGAAGGUUCUCGAGAACGAGAACAAACACUCAUGAGUUAGUGAAAGCGUAAGAUAGUACGCCAAUGAACAGUUGAGAAAAUCCGUCUCUGGAGAGAAUGUCAUUCCCUACCCUGCUGCGCUCUCUUCAUCAUGGAGGGUCUGAUUGGAAUGAGAACGAUGUAAAUGACAGGCCACAUGGUGUCAUGGUGUUUGUUUGGAGACCAAUGGGAGUAGCCCGCAAGUUUCCAUGCCCUUGGGUAGUUGAGUAACGAUAGUUACCGAAUUUAAUGGCUUUGUUAUUUAUUUCUAUAUUUUAAAUACUAGAAAAAUGUACUGCUUUUAACAACAGGCAAGGGAAAGGCAAACUUAAAUGUAGCAUGAAGAGGAGGUUGGUAGAUGUCAUUAUUGUUUUUGGAGAUCCAUCAUAACAAAGCAUGUACAAUCGAUGUAGUGCCAUGUGGGGUUUUAAUGUAUGUAUACAUUUCAUCCGAAUUCCAUAAGGUUAAAAAAUGUCUCCUCACCAACUAUCAUCUUGUCAUUGCUCAAAGGUUCUGCAUCCUUUCUUAGCAGUGGGAGAUAAAUGGUUCAAGAUCAACAUCUAUAGUCACUGCGCUUCGCAAACCCAACCGCAGCUGCAUCCUUCUAUGUAACAUCGCGUAGAGGCACCGAUCAGGCUCACUGCAUUCCUCCCUUGCCUCCCUUCCCCAGCCUCCAUUCUCAACUUCCAUGAACGCCUUGCUUUCCUAUUGCACAUCAGAGUGAUCAGUGGUGAUUUUCUUUGUAUUCCUGACUCCUUUAUUGAGAAAAGAAAUCAGAAUCUCGUUACUCCCCCCUCCCCCCAUUUUGUUAUAAGUGACGACAUGUCAUUCUCUUUUAUGGCUGAACAGAAGCUGACAGUGUUCGUAGCUAGAAUAUAUACAGUAGUAAAAUAAUGAUUUUAAGAGCAAAAACAAAACCAAAAUCUGAACCAGAAAUGAUUCAAUUACCUGAUUGUCGUUCGCCCGUGAUGUUUUGGAGAUUGUCUGUUAUACACAAUCUUUAUUUUCUGGGGAUGUGGGAAUUUGAAUUAGUUUCCAUAUGAGAUAUUAUAGAAAUGAGUUAGUGAUUGUGGAAAUGACGCAGAAAAUCAGUGAUGAGUUCAGGAGUCAAAACAGAGAAUGUCUUAGUUAUCAUUGUCUUCCAUUUUUUCCUUUACUCUUCUCUGUGCUGCUCCCAAUGGACCAUUUGAGCUGGUGUAGGAAUUCUCCGUGGCCAGGCACUCUGCGGAGCAUCUCUCUGAGCAGCCUAGUGUCCCAUAAUGGACUCUGCCAAGGGGAUUGACCUUUCUCCUGUUGUCACUGUCUCCCUCUUUGCAUCUAGCUUAUACCUUGGUCCACUGUAAGUACUAGUCAACAUCAUUGCCUUUGUUGUUCUUUCCGUUUUUAAAAAGUCUUUUUCUGUCAUAGUGCCGAGCCUUAAUGCCACCGAUGAAGUACACACUCGCCAAUGUUCGUGUACCUUUCAUUGGUAGAGGCAUUAGAGUAAUUUUUCCGUAUGUGAAACAGUGGGGAUUGUCCUGACACGCUUUGUGCUUGACACAUGGAGUGUAUUAGCUGGAGGUUGGGGAUCUUAAUGCAUUUUCUUCUUGAUUUGUGAUUUGCCUGUAUUCCUCAAUAAUUAAGCAAUGCACCGAUAUAGACGGCAAUAGAGAAGGAGGGCCAUUCCAGGACCAAUGAUGACUGGGGGCAUGUGAUCUAAAGAUGAGCACGAGGCUUUGGGAUUCUGAGGUCCAAUAAAAUGGCAUCGAAGCAGGCCCUUUGUGGUGGGGUCCUUUGUUCAGGUUUGCAGAACAAUUAUAGAAAAGUAGACAUGAAGAAGUCAAAUAAUUAUUCAGUACUAAAGAGCAUAGUAAGCGCAAAAUGAAGUGAAGGAUCUUUAAAGAAAUCAAUAGAUGUCUAGUCGUUCGUUGAUACAUAGUAACGAAGCGUGUCCAGUCCAUGUAGUGUCAUGUGGUGUUUUCAUACACAUACAUAUUUUAGAGAAUUUAAAUCAGGUUCAACAUGUCGCCUCAGUCCAAUUCAUCUGUGCUCACACAUUGUGCAUGUGCUCCUCUGUGUACUGUGUCCUCCUCUGUGCCCCUCAGAAUGACUCUCCGGAGGGGAUUGACCUGUACUUCCCUCAUCACUACCUCCUUCUUCCAUGUGGAUUGAACCUUAGUCUACUCUAAGUAACAGUCAACCUUCUGUCUCUUCUGUGGUUCUUUGAAGGGAUCUUCUGUAUUACCAAAGGGCAUUUCUGAUAGCGAGCAAGUUGAAUCGUGCCAAACUUAGUAUCACUUCAAUGGAGGCAUCUUCUUGUUUGUUCCAUGUGUGAAAACAUGGGGUUUGUAAUGACAAGGUUUUGUCGUUGACUAACUGAACCUGUAAAAAACUGUCAGGAAUCUCAGUGCAUAUUUUUCCUGUAUUUCUCUGUGUAUUUGCUUUGCUCACUUAAUUAAUCAAUGCACUGGGGUAGCUGGAAUAAGAAAGAGGGCCAUUCCUGGACCAGUGAUGACAGGGCGGCAAGUGAUUCAGGCAGAAUGAGCACGAGGAGUCGAGAUUCUGAGGUCCCACGCAAAUGGAAUCUAAACAAGCCCUGUUUUGGUGGCUUCCUAUAUUCACACGUCCUGAUGUUACAAGGAUCUUGGUUUGAUCUUCAUGAAGAUCCAUGUAUUUAGAAACAUUUACUAGUAAGGAAUCGUGGGCAGGAUUAGCCAACAAUUAACAGUCAGUACACAUGAAUGAAUUAAGUAAUCAUCUAUUAAUAAAAUAUAUGUAAGAGUGUAGGUACCAGGUACCACUUUUUGAUUUUCAUUCUUCUUCUUGCGAAAGGCUGGGCCUAUAGAUCGACAUCAUCCCAGCGGCUCAGCAUUAGAUUUUUCUCGUGUAGGCUAAGAUUUGAGUAGAUUUGUUGUUUCUUGAGCACGUCACAGUGUAGACUGUGGAAACCCAAGGUGUUGAUGGAAACUAGUCGAUUAUUGCUGAUGAUAGUCGAUUAGUGCUCUACUUAGCUUGUAAGUUUGAAGGUUCUCGAGAACGAGAACAAACACUCAUGAGUUAGUGAAAGCGUAAGAUAGUACGCCAAUGAACAGUUGAGAAAAUCCGUCUCUGGAGAGAAUGUCAUUCCCUACCCUGCUGCGCUCUCUUCAUCAUGGAGGGUCUGAUUGGAAUGAGAACGAUGUAAAUGACAGGCCACAUGGUGUCAUGGUGUUUGUUUGGAGACCAAUGGGAGUAGCCCGCAAGUUUCCAUGCCCUUGGGUAGUUGAGUAACGAUAGUUACCGAAUUUAAUGGCUUUGUUAUUUAUUUCUAUAUUUUAAAUACUAGAAAAAUGUACUGCUUUUAACAACAGGCAAGGGAAAGGCAAACUUAAAUGUAGCAUGAAGAGGAGGUUGGUAGAUGUCAUUAUUGUUUUUGGAGAUCCAUCAUAACAAAGCAUGUACAAUCGAUGUAGUGCCAUGUGGGGUUUUAAUGUCUGUAUACAUUUCAUCCGAAUUCCAUAAGGUUAAAAAAUGUCUCCUCACCAACUAUCAUCUUGUCAUUGCUCAAAGGUUCUGCAUCCUUUCUUAGCAGUGGGAGAUAAAUGGUUCAAGAUCAACAUCUAUAGUCACUGCGCUUCGCAAACCCAACCGCAGCUGCAUCCUUCUAUGUAACAUCGCGUAGAGGCACCGAUCAGGCUCACUGCAUUCCUCCCUUGCCUCCCUUCCCCAGCCUCCAUUCUCAACUUCCAUGAACGCCUUGCUUUCCUAUUGCACAUCAGAGUGAUCAGUGGUGAUUUUCUUUGUAUUCCUGACUCCUUUAUUGAGAAAAGAAAUCAGAAUCUCGUUAC